UCCUGUGACAUGGGGAAUCUUUCACCAC
rnacentral:piRNA from 1 species